rnacentral:rRNA from 1 species
GAUGAACGCUGGCGGCGUGCCUAAUACAUGCUAGUCGAGCGAACGGACGAGAAGCUUGCUUCUCUGAUGUUAGCGGCGGACGGGUGAGUAACACGUGGAUAACCUACCUAUAAGACUGGGAUAACUUCGGGAAACCGUAGCUAAUACCGGAUAAUAUUUUGAACCGCAUGGUUCAAAAGUGAAAGACGGUCUUGCUGUCACUUAUAGAUGGAUCCGCGCUGCAUUAGCUAGUUGGUAAGGUAACGGCUUACCAAGGCAACGAUGCAUAGCCGACCUGAGAGGGUGAUCGGCCACACUGGAACUGAGACACGGUCCAGACUCCUACGGGAGGCAGCAGUAGGGAAUCUUCCGCAAUGGGCGAAAGCCUGACGGAGCAACGCCGCGUGAGUGAUGAAGGUCUUCGGAUCGUAAAACUCUGUUAUUAGGGAAGAACAUAUGUGUAAGUAACUGUGCACAUCUUGACGGUACCUAAUCAGAAAGCCACGGCUAACUACGUGCCAGCAGCCGCGGUAAUACGUAGGUGGCAAGCGUUAUCCGGAAUUAUUGGGCGUAAAGCGCGCGUAGGCGGUUUUUUAAGUCUGAUGUGAAAGCCCACGGCUCAACCGUGGAGGGUCAUUGGAAACUGGAAAACUUGAGUGCAGAAGAGGAAAGUGGAAUUCCAUGUGUAGCGGUGAAAUGCGCAGAGAUAUGGAGGAACACCAGUGGCGAAGGCGACUUUCUGGUCUGUAACUGACGCUGAUGUGCGAAAGCGUGGGGAUCAAACAGGAUUAGAUACCCUGGUAGUCCACGCCGUAAACGAUGAGUGCUAAGUGUUAGGGGGUUUCCGCCCCUUAGUGCUGCAGCUAACGCAUUAAGCACUCCGCCUGGGGAGUACGACCGCAAGGUUGAAACUCAAAGGAAUUGACGGGGACCCGCACAAGCGGUGGAGCAUGUGGUUUAAUUCGAAGCAACGCGAAGAACCUUACCAAAUCUUGACAUCCUUUGACAACUCUAGAGAUAGAGCCUUCCCCUUCGGGGGACAAAGUGACAGGUGGUGCAUGGUUGUCGUCAGCUCGUGUCGUGAGAUGUUGGGUUAAGUCCCGCAACGAGCGCAACCCUUAAGCUUAGUUGCCAUCAUUAAGUUGGGCACUCUAAGUUGACUGCCGGUGACAAACCGGAGGAAGGUGGGGAUGACGUCAAAUCAUCAUGCCCCUUAUGAUUUGGGCUACACACGUGCUACAAUGGACAAUACAAAGGGCAGCGAAACCGCGAGGUCAAGCAAAUCCCAUAAAGUUGUUCUCAGUUCGGAUUGUAGUCUGCAACUCGACUACAUGAAGCUGGAAUCGCUAGUAAUCGUAGAUCAGCAUGCUACGGUGAAUACGUUCCCGGGUCU